rnacentral:rRNA from 1 species
UACAGAGGGGGCAAGCGUUGUUCGGAAUUACUGGGCGUAAAGGGCGCGUAGGCGGCCUGCUAAGUCGAACGUGAAAUCCCCGGGCUCAACCCGGGAACUGCGUCCGAUACUGGCAGGCUUGAAUCCGGGAGAGGGAUGCGGAAUUCCAGGUGUAGCGGUGAAAUGCGUAGAUAUCGGUAGGAACACCAGUGGCGAAGGCGGUCUCCUGGGGCAUUCUUGACGCUGAGGCGCGAAAGCUGGGGGAGCAAACGGG